CGUGGGUAACCUGCCCAAGAGACUGGGAUAACACCUGGAAACAGAUGCUAUACCGGAUAACAACACUAGACGCAUGUCUAGAGUUUAAAAGAUGGUUCUGCUAUCACUCUUGGAUGGACCUGCGGUGCAUUAGCUAGUUGGUAAGGUAACGGCUUACCAAGGCAAUGAUGCAUAGCCGAGUUGAGAGACUGAUCGGCCACAUUGGGACUGAGACACGGCCCAAACUCCUACGGAAGGCAGCAG
rnacentral:rRNA from 1 species